CGGCAAAAGCUCAAAUUUGAAAUCUAGUACCUUCGGUGCUCGAGUUGUAAUUUGUAGAAGGUAUCUUGGAAUGGUGGCUGGCCUAUGUUCCUUGGAAAAGGACGUCAUAGAGGGUGAGAACCCCGUAUGGCUGGGCGUGCUGUUCCUUGUAAGAUUCCUUCGAC
rnacentral:rRNA from 1 species